AUGGUCCGCUUCCGCCAUUCCGGUCGAAGAGCUGAAAUAAGCGCCUACCACAGAUUUGGCCUUAUCACUACCGGAGACCCCCAAAUCUUGCGAAGAAAAGGAAAUAAAGCCAUUCCGGACGCUGUCCCUCUGGGAAACGUAGUCCCUCGCCAAGAAGGUCGAGCCAGCCUGGAGAGCAGAAGGUGCAGCGUCCCACCCAGGACCGCCUUCCGGAAGCUGCCCGCCCCAACUGCGACGCGCGGGGUCCUUCCGGGAGUUUGCUUCGGCGCUCAGUGCGCAGGUGCAGGUGUCGUGCGCGCGCUGCUCGGGGGCUUGGCCCUUGAUGGGGCGGGCAGUGCUUUGGUACCAGGUUCUCUCGGUGACCUGAAAGAGGAGGCUGGCCAUCUCAGGAAUCUACUCUCCCAUGAAUGAGAAAUGAUCAAGUCUUAUGUGAGUUUUAAAUUAUGUGUUUAUUUUACUACGUUAUUCUGCAUUGUGGAUAAAGUAGAUUAUAAUAACCCUAACAAUAAAAUGAAAAGCCCUAAAUAGAUAAAAAUUGGCCAG
rnacentral:lncRNA from 1 species